AAGCAGUUCAAAACAGGUAGAAUCCAAUCUCUCUCUCUCUCUCUCUCUCUCUCUCACUCAAACAACUCGAUCGUUCUUCCUUCGCAGGUUGCCCAUUUUGCUACUCCCGGCUAACCCAUCAAUCAUCAUCCAUCGUCUCCUAACCGUGCGGACAACUUUCAUCCACAGCCAAGUUACCUAAAUUUUUGCGAUACAGCCAAGGCAAAGCAUGAGCCAGCCGCUUCUCAGGAUCUAUAACUAUUGGGUUUUCAAUUUGCAAUUGUAUUCUCAGGAUUUGUUUGAUCGGCUGGAGAAGGAGAUGAAAACCUAUAGUCAUAGUUCGUGUAAUUGCUCGAGGCGUGCAUGCAGCUGAGAAGCUGGAACUAGAAAGGAAAUAUAUAGCAGUCUUGCUGAGUCACAUGAAACUUGUAAUAAGAGUGGUACAAAUGAAUAUGGUUUCGAGAAAUGGUCAAGAAAGGAAAAAGGAAAACCAUUUGGAAAUGCAAGGAUGGAUUCUAUGAUACUUAAAUAUUGUU